AUGCUUACGUGCCCAUUCACUAAGCAGACUUGGCAUGAGGUCCUGUCUUGGCUACGCCUACCGGCACCGGCGCCCGAGCACGAUGGCUCGCUCAUAGAUUGGUGGCUGUGCGCAAAGGACUUGACACCGCCAGCACUUCGCAAGGCGCUCAAGUCUGUGGCGCUCCUGGUUCCGUGGAUGGUCUGGAAGCAUAGGAACGCGUGUGUUUUCGACCAUGUGAGGCCCUCGCUGAACGAGUUGGUAGACAGGAUUAAAGACGAGACCCGAUGUUGGGCAAAGGCCGGAGCUCAAGGGCUCAGGGUCGUUUUGCCACCAUCCUGGGAUGUCCACUGA
rnacentral:rRNA from 1 species